rnacentral:rRNA from 1 species
AUGGUGGGGCAUUCCCGGCCGCACGCUGGAGGCCGUCCUCGAGUACAUCGAGGGCGGCAACAUGCCCAGGCUGGAGUACCCUGCUCCCCCCUCCUUCUCCUGCCGGCGUGGGAGCUCGUGGACACCGAGGCGCAUGGAUCCGGGGGCAUCCUCCUCCUCGUCCGGCCGCUCAUCCACGUCCGGCUUUCCCUGCCUCCGCCCCGUCAAGCCGGAGCCCCGGGACACGCCGGUCAGCCAGCGCACCCGCAGCUCCGGCGUCCGCAUCGCCGACUCCUCCCCCACCUCUGGCCGCCUCGUCCUCAUCAGGCCGAAGGUGGAGCCCGCCCUCCCCGCGGAGUAUGA